rnacentral:lncRNA from 1 species
AAAAUGCAUCAAUGGGUUGCAAACACGUAAGGCCAAAUAUUUAUAUUUACCCUGACUUCAGUACAUGGAUCAAGCUCACUUUUGUUCAUGGAGGAAGUUGGAGAUUUUUCCUUAAUGCCACCAAGUUAGAGGAAUUCAUCCAGUGGCUUCUGUCUAGGCCAAUGAUCCUUCCUGAGGAACCACAAAUCAUACCCCAGAGAGACUAUGCCUUCAUUGGACCCAUUGAGAGGUUGGCCACAGUUUGCCUCUCUCUUUUCAACUAUGUUUAUUGCCUUUUUGGUUCCUCAAAAGAGGAAAUAACUCGACUUUAGAGUUAUUUCCUGCUUGGCUUGGUACAAAAUAAAUGUAGCCUGUUUCAAGUA